CCACUUCCAAAUUUGUAAAAAUUGUUUAUUGAGUUUAAUCCACCAAUUCAAUUUAAUAAUAUUACAAUAUUACCAGAAUUUCAAUCCUUAUUUUCAAAAACCUGAGGGUAAAAUGAGGACGAAUGUUUACAAAAUGAUUCAAUAUACUCCAAGACUAAAAUGAUUUCAUAACAACAACAUCGGAAGUCUCUAUGAAAAUAAUUCAACAUUUAGAAAAGUUCAAAACAGUCGUCAUUUGUUUACCCAUCCCUUUAUACCAAUGAACAAAAAUAAAUACCUGGACGAACUGGUUUGAAUAGUUCAUUGUGAAGAUUCGGUAAAAAUGAAUUUAUCUUGUCCCAUGUAAUCAUCCAUAUUUCAUUUCUUCCAUCCUGGCCAGUAAAUACACCAGUUGAGUCCAUUACAAGCAGCAGGUUUUUUAAAGAUUCAGAAGAUCACUGUUGUCCGCAUGCAUGUAUUUAUCCUUGUAAUCGAGUAUUUUUAACCACAACUGGGCAAAACUAUCUAGUGUUUGAAGUUGAGAAAGGACAGUCGCCGCACGUAUACGCGUCUCCUCGAGUCCAUCCGACGUUGGUACGGGCUCCAAUAGCUUAGAAAGAAGGGGGAAAAGUACUUGGGUGAAACAAGAUUCCCACUCUUCGCCAGUGAGGUUUUGAAGGUCAGGAACAAGCAGAGCUCUUUGAAGCAAAUAAAUAAUUACCUGUCUGUUGGGAUGCGACGACAGCCUGGCGAUGCCUUGUAGAAGCGGACACCAUGCAUGCAGCCAAAGAGAAAUAUGCUCAGUUUCGCUGGUUUCUUCCGCCCACCACUUAAAGAUCUGCGCUGUUCUAAUGUGGAUAGUGUGCAUCAGAUCGAGAAGCUUUACCCGGCAAGAAAUAAUGGUAAAAUGGGAGACGCAGAGAACUCAAAAAUGGCCACAUUGGAAUAUGAAUCAAGCGAAGGGAAGGAAGACAGCAAUAAUAGCCAGGUGUCUGGUGCAAAAACAUUAAACGUAGUCGAUCAGCAUAGCAACGAAGUCGGGUCAGUUGUUCUGCAUCGAGUGGACGAUGGUGAUAACAUCUGUCAUCAACCUGUACUAAACAGCCAAGACAAGCAAAGCAAAGGCAAUGUGAACACAGAAAGGCUGCGAGACGUCGAUAAUGUUAUCACCAUGGAAAAUCUCAACCUAAGCCGGCCCUCUCGAUCAUUUAUGGAUAUACUGUGCUGUAGGCAAGCCAACUGAUUCUUGUAAUCCGUCCAUACUAAAAUGAUUUCUGUAAACUUCUAUUUAUAAUCGUCUAAACUGAAGUAAAGGUCAAGCUCAAGUAACAGCUCAAGAGAAUGAAAAGAAUAUUAUUCAUAAAACCUAAAUAAAGAAACUAAUGAAUUC